CAUGCAUGGACAUGUGACUUGCUCAUGUGACUCCAAAACUCCAUCUUGGAGCUGGACUUUGCAUAGAAGAGAGGAAGAGGUCUCCACUCACAAGAGAAAGUCUAUUUAAAUCCCUGGGAG